rnacentral:lncRNA from 1 species
GCAAUUUUAAAAUUUUUUUAAUACACAAUUCUGGAUUACACAAGAGAUGUAUUACAUAGGAUCAAUGACUGACAAGCAGGUUAGGAUUUUGUACCCGAAUUUGUACUUCCAUCUAAGAGCUAUUCCUCCUGUGCUGCUGACUGCCCCCUCUUCUGAGGACAAUGUGGAGAGCAGGUGAGGAAGAGGUGGCGACUGCCACCUUAACUGAAACAUAUUCAGUAAGUCUAAUCAGAGGAGUAAGACGAGGCAAGUUCCCCUUGAGAAGCUUUCACAAAUGCUCUGUUCUAAUUUCUAAUUUCUUGUAAGGGUCCCUAGGUAUCUCAUUUAAUUGAGAUACAGAAUACCCCAACCAAAAGAAGAGGGGUAGAACACAGAAAAUGAUCUUGUAAUAUAGUGAUAGAAGUACCAGAAUCCUGAAAUGGUUACAGGAACACACAUAGCAGCACGUAAUGGAAAGCAAAUUCACUGCAGUUCGUAUUACUUAGGCUCCACAUCCACCAGCCACAAAGCAGUAAAAGUACAUAACACACUAACAGCAACAGAGAAGAUUACAUCAUUUAAGGGACACAUCUGACUCUGGCUCUAAGAGAAUCCAGAGGAGCUCAAAUGUCAGGCUAAAAGCUGGUGAGAGCCAACAGAGCAUUACAAGCACCAUGGCAUCGUACAAAGGCAUAUGCACUGGCCAUAGACUAAACUGGCCUAAAUUUCAGGGUCAUAAACAAAGCAGCGGAUUGUUUCACAGCGCCCAUCAGAAUUUAUUCUUAGCAUGUUUAUCUGCCUGAAUAUUCAAAAGUCAGAUAGGAAGUAAAUGAAAUUCAUCAGUCAUCAGCUGGCCAAUGCUCCUGCAUCCUGGAGUGUUCACGGUUGUACAACAUUUCCUCUCACAGGGAAGAAAAUACUUGGUUACAAGACAAAAUGUUUUUUUCAGUCACUGGUUCUUAAUAACAGUUCGUUGCUGAGGUUUUCUUUGCUUUGUCUCUGCUUAUCUCAUGACACUUUAGCAUCUAAAUAUUAGUAGCUUGUUUGAAAGACUUGCCUUCUGCUUCGUUUACAUAUCACUAUGUACACUUCUGCAAUUUUUCUUUCUGACUACCACCCUCUCUUCCUUCCAGCUCAUCCUAACCAACUCAAGGAAACUUCUGCUUGUGCUAUGAUUACACCAAAAGCUUUAUGCCCAUGGAAGAAGGCACUUCUAAGAAGGAAGUCUUGACGCUGUUUUGCUUUGUAGAGUAGUAGAUUCAUAUCUCCGGAUGGUUUUAUCUCAAUUCUCCCCUGAAAAGUCAAAUUUAGGCAAAGAUGGCUAUUUCCUAUUUCCACUAAAAGAAAGGUUCUCACAGAAGGGUAAGCUGGAAGCUUAAGCAUUUCCCUCCUGGACCUCCUGGAAUGUCUUCGUUCCUGCUGCAGCUUUGAUUU